rnacentral:lncRNA from 1 species
CGCUGGUCAAGCGGGUUGUACAAGGCCAGAAUGAAGAGAAGCUGCGAGUCAGUAUGGAACUCAGAGGUCCCCGAGUGGAUAUCCACGUGGAAAGGAUGUUGGCAGCCCGGGUGACCUCGGAGUCACGGCUGGAUCCACCCUCCCGCCUGAUUUUCUUAACUCCACCCUGCUGAGAAGAUGCCCUCCAGGAGGCUGUGCUUGCAGACUCCACGGAGCCUCUCUCAAGAUUUCCUGAACCUUGUGGAUUUACAGUAAGACGAAGUUCCCUGGGGAGUAAUUCUGGUGGAUGCAAAUUCUGGAGUAAUACACCUGGCCUGCCUAGAGAUGUUACAAGUGGCCUAAUGGAUUUUUCUAGCCUGGACGCCCACUGGGGACAAGGAUCAUUACUGACAGGAUUGUAUCUCUACCCUUGACUCCAUGGGAAUAUUUGGUCUGCUCUCUCGGGCUCCCUCUAAAAUGGUUGACAGAGCUGAGGCUCACAACAGGCUGAACAUGUGCCUGAUGCUUUGCACAGGGUCAGGACCAGCUUCUGGGGAGGGUGAGCAUUGGUUGGCCCUGAGAAGAUUCUAAGGAGCCAG